UUUGGUUAAGUUAGAAAGGGCGCACGGUGGAUGCCUUGACACUAGGAGUCGAUGAAGGACGGGACUAACGCCGAUAUGCUUCGGGGAGCUGUAAGUAAGCUUUGAUCCGAAGAUUUCCGAAUGGGGAAACCCACCAUACGUAAUGGUAUGGUAUCCUUAUCUGAAUACAUAGGGUAAGGAAGACAGACCCAGGGAACUGAAACAUCUAAGUACCUGGAGGAAGAGAAAGCAAAUGCGAUUUCCUGAGUAGCAUGAGCGAAACGGAACAUAGCCCAAACCAAGAGGCUUGCCUCUUGGGGUUGUAGGACAUUCUAUACGGAGUUACAAAGGAACGAGGUAGACGAAGCGACCUGGAAAGGUCCGUCGUAGAGGGUAACAACCCCGUAGUCGAAACUUCGUUCUCUCUUGAAUGUAUCCUGAGUACGGCGGAACACGUGAAAUUCCGUCGGAAUCUGGGAGGACCAUCUCCCAAGGCUAAAUACUCCCUAGUGAUCGAUAGUGAACCAGUACCGUGAGGGAAAGGUGAAAAGCACCCCGGAAGGGGAGUGAAAGAGAUCCUGAAACCGUGUGCCUACAAAUAGUCAGAGCCCGUUAACGGGUGAUGGCGUGCCUUUGUAGAAUGAACCGGCGAGUUACGAUCCCGUGCGAGGUUAAGCUGAAGAGGCGGAGCCGCAGCGAAAGCGAGUCUGAAUAGGGCGUUUAGUACGUGGUCGUAGACCCGAAACCAGGUGAUCUACCCAUGUCCAGGGUGAAGUUCAGGUAACACUGAAUGGAGGCCCGAACCCACGCACGUUGAAAAGUGCGGGGAUGAGGUGUGGGUAGCGGAGAAAUUCCAAUCGAACCUGGAGAUAGCUGGUUCUCCCCGAAAUAGCUUUAGGGCUAGCCUUAAGUGUAAGAGUCUUGGAGGUAGAGCACUGAUUGGACUAGGGGUCCUCAUCGGAUUACCGAAUUCAGUCAAACUCCGAAUGCCAAUGACUUAUCCUUAGGAGUCAGACUGCGAGUGAUAAGAUCCGUAGUCAAAAGGGAAACAGCCCAGACCGCCAGCUAAGGUCCCAAAGUGUGUAUUAAGUGGAAAAGGAUGUGGAGUUGCUUAGACAACUAGGAUGUUGGCUUAGAAGCAGCCACCAUUUAAAGAGUGCGUAAUAGCUCACUAGUCGAGUGACUCUGCGCCGAAAAUGUACCGGGGCUAAAUACACCACCGAAGCUGCGGAUUGAUACCAAUGGUAUCAGUGGUAGGGGAGCGUUCUAAGGACAGUGAAGUCAGACCGGAAGGACUGGUGGAGUGCUUAGAAGUGAGAAUGCCGGUAUGAGUAGCGAAAGACGGGUGAGAAUCCCGUCCACCGAAUGCCUAAGGUUUCCUGAGGAAGGCUCGUCCGCUCAGGGUUAGUCAGGACCUAAGCCGAGGCCGACAGGCGUAGGCGAUGGACAACAGGUUGAUAUUCCUGUACCACCUCUUUAUCGUUUGAGCAAUGGAGGGACGCAGAAGGAUAGAAGAAGCGUGCGAUUGGUUGUGCACGUCCAAGCAGUUAGGCUGAUAAGUAGGCAAAUCCGCUUAUCGUAAAGGCUGAGCUGUGAUGGGGAAGCUCCUUAUGGAGCGAAGUCUUUGAUUCCCCGCUGCCAAGAAAAGCUUCUAGCGAGAUAAAAGGUGCCUGUACCGCAAACCGACACAGGUAGGCGAGGAGAGAAUCCUAAGGUGUGCGAGAGAACUCUGGUUAAGGAACUCGGCAAAAUGACCCCGUAACUUCGGGAGAAGGGGUGCUUUCUUAACGGAAAGCCGCAGUGAAUAGGCCCAAGCGACUGUUUAGCAAAAACACAGCUCUCUGCGAAGCCGUAAGGCGAAGUAUAGGGGGUGACACCUGCCCGGUGCUGGAAGGUUAAGGAGAGGGGUUAGCGUAAGCGAAGCUCUGAACUGAAGCCCCAGUAAACGGCGGCCGUAACUAUAACGGUCCUAAGGUAGCGAAAUUCCUUGUCGGGUAAGUUCCGACCCGCACGAAAGGUGUAACGAUUUGGGCACUGUCUCAACCAGAGACUCGGUGAAAUUAUAGUACCUGUGAAGAUGCAGGUUACCCGCGACAGGACGGAAAGACCCCGUGGAGCUUUACUGUAGCCUGAUAUUGAAUUUUGGUACAGUUUGUACAGGAUAGGCGGGAGCCAUUGAAACCGGAGCGCUAGCUUCGGUGGAGGCGCUGGUGGGAUACCGCCCUGACUGUAUUGAAAUUCUAACCUACGGGUCUUAUCGACCCGGGAGACAGUGUCAGGUGGGCAGUUUGACUGGGGCGGUCGCCUCCUAAAGUGUAACGGAGGCGCCCAAAGGUUCCCUCAGAAUGGUUGGAAAUCAUUCGUAGAGUGCAAAGGCAUAAGGGAGCUUGACUGCGAGACCUACAAGUCGAGCAGGGACGAAAGUCGGGCUUAGUGAUCCGGUGGUUCCGCAUGGAAGGGCCAUCGCUCAACGGAUAAAAGCUACCCCGGGGAUAACAGGCUUAUCUCCCCCAAGAGUCCACAUCGACGGGGAGGUUUGGCACCUCGAUGUCGGCUCAUCGCAUCCUGGGGCUGUAGUCGGUCCCAAGGGUUGGGCUGUUCGCCCAUUAAAGCGGUACGCGAGCUGGGUUCAGAACGUCGUGAGACAGUUCGGUCCCUAUCCGUCGUGGGCGUAGGAAAUUUGAGAGGAGCUGUCCUUAGUACGAGAGGACCGGGAUGGACGCACCGCUGGUGUACCAGUUGUUCUGCCAAGGGCAUAGCUGGGUAGCUAUGUGCGGAAGGGAUAAGUGCUGAAAGCAUCUAAGCAUGAAGCCCCCCCCUCAAGAUGAGAUUUCCCAUAGCGUAAGCUAGUAAGAUCCCUGAAAGAUGAUCAGGUUGAUAGGUUCGAGGUGGAAGCAUGGUGACAUGUGGAGCUGACGAAUACUAAUAGAUCGAGGACUUAACCAUAUAA
rnacentral:rRNA from 1 species